ACGGAGGGUGCGAGCGUUAAUCGGAAUCACUGGGCGUAAAGCGCAGGUAGGCGGUGUCGUAAGUCGGAUGUGAAAGCCCUCGGCUCAACCGGGGAACUGCAUUCGAUACUGCGAUGCUGGAGUGCAGGUGAGGGAGGCGGAAUUCCAGGUGUAGCGGUGAAAUCCGCAGAGAUCAGGAGGAACACCGAUGGCGAAGGCAGCCUUCUAGCCGGUCACUGACGCUGAGCUGCGAAAGCGUGGGUAUCAAACAG
rnacentral:rRNA from 1 species